AUUUUCUUCGUCUUGAUUCUGGUCGGGAUCGGUAUUCACCUCCCCAUUCAACUUUCAUUUUAAUACCCGCGUAUUCUCCUUGACAACUGACAGGCUAGACAGCUACGUGAUGGGUUGAUGCUUCAGAGGAAGACGGUUCGUUUGGACGCCUGUUAAACGAUGAUCAUCUUCAUCCAAAUUGUAAGCCAAAAGUCAUUGAGAUAGAUGAGAAGCCAGUUAUUUGCUUUUACUCUCUAAAACUAAUACCUCCAGAUACAGAACUGUUGUAUGAUUAUGGGCCUGGUAACAUGUAUCCUUGGAGAAGAAAGGUAAUGAAGCCAUAUUUGCAUGCUUUUUUUGUGUGUGUAUGUGUGAUUUGAGGUGGAUGAAUAUACACAUGUAAAUAUUCAAUCUAAUUUCAGCUCAUUUGCAAUGCUAUAUUUUAUGUUAGCUGAAUCAAAAAUAAGAUAUCGAUUGCAUGACUCUUUUAUCUGUAGAUGUCCAAAAGAAGUGCAAAAAAUACAAAUCCAUGGAAAGGUCUUAUUUUUGUGCAUUAUGUUCUUGUUUUGUUGAAACUUAUCACCAGAAUUUUUUAUUGAACUUAACACUCAGAGAAAAGCAAAUUUAUAAUUUAUCUAUCUUCAAUAUGCUAACUUAAGACUAUGGUUACAACCCGAGUACAACAGUUUUGAAGCAAUUUACCGAAUUUCAUCUUAGAGAUCAUCUUUCUCUAACUUAUAUGAAACUUAAAUGAAUACAUAAGCUCAGAAGUUGUGAAAUAGUCAAUGUACAGUGUUUAUACAUACAGCAAAUUUGCUGGACCUAUAACGAAAAGUGUAUUAUUAUAUUUGUUUAUGGUUACCCAAACAAACCCUAACUCAAUAGCUUUCUUUAGAAUAUAUUUUAUGCUGGUAUGAAAUUUUCACUGUUUCACUACUGCUGCAAAUCACUUCUUUUUCUUUAGAACUUUAUUUUAUGUAAUGACUUGAGACUGUCUGCUUACAUGUAUUUUUAAUGUUAAGGAUUAUUUUCAACAAUAUACAGAUUUCUAUAAAAAUUUUGUCUUGCUAAUAAAUACCAUAUGACUUUCUUGCAAAAAUAAGGUAUCAAAAAAAUUUGGUGCUCUACAGUGUGUCAGAACUGUUGGUUAGAUGGACAAUCUAUUGUUUACUACCUUGUGUUAAACAAAAAGUGGGUUUCACAUAGUUUUUCUACUUCAGACUAAAAAUAGAUUGGGAAUUUCCCGUACUAAGAAAGGAGAAAAUGUAUGUCUGGACCAGGUAUCGAACUGAGACUCCUGCAUCACUAGUGCAGGUGCUCUACCAACUGACCUAUCCAGGCAAAUAUCCAUGGUCCAAACCAUUACAUUCCAAAGUGAUGUAAUUGGUUCAUUCUUGUCAUCCAAUGAAAUACCUCAUUUCUUGCUACGUUAGGUUAUGAAUUUAGCAUAUAUAAACAAACCUGCUGAAAUGGCAAAUUUUGCUAACUCAAAUGGGAAAAAUACAUGCAAAUUAAGUUUUUAAUAACUCUAUCAUGGACUAAUAUAGUGUUUAGAAUGCUUGAAUUAAUCUUUAUAAAUUAUGUAAUAGAAUGCAGAUUGCAAAUUAUUCUAUUUUAUAUCAAGUGGUGGAUCGGUCUAACUACACAAAAGUACCCUGAAAUUAGUGUUCAGUGUAGAGAGGGUCGUUAAACAUGUUAAAGCAAAGUUAUUUUCAUUCUGUUUCGUUGUAAACCAUGUUGACAACUUAACAAUAUAAAUUACAUCUAUGAGAGCAAAAUGGUCAGUCCUUAGUAUUUUGCUAUAGGGAUGUUUUACUGUACAUAUAUUUAUUCACCCUGUGGAAGUUUGAUAUGUAUACUUUCUAUACUUACAGUGUUUUAAUGUAGAAUUAUGACCACAGCAUUUCUUUUAUCUUGGCAGUAACUGUAAGAAUUAAUAUAAUUUUUCAUUACUAAUGCCAUAAAAUCAGGGAUCCAAGGCCUAUGAUAAUUGUGCAAAACUUAAAACAAAAAGGUGGAGGCUCAUACCUCACAUUACAAAGGUUUUGACCUAUGAACAUGUGUGUAUAUCAUAAAAUGGCACUUUUUAUUCUGGUUUAAAUAUUUGUGUUUUUAAAAUCAAGUUUCAUUUUUUUCCAGAGGAAGUAAGGGAUAUUGAUGCCAGUACUUGUGUUUCUUGUGUGGAUGAUGAGGAUCAGAGUGAGGAGGAAAUAGAUGACAGUCAAGACAACCAGAAUUUCCAAACUGUGACUCCAGGGAAGAGGGAGGCAGUAUUUGAUAGCGGAUGCUCCAGAGAAAUGGAUGAGUCUUCAUCCAAGCAACAGAAGUUACAGAAAAAGCCAUGGACUUCAUCUGAAAUGAACUCCAUUCACAAACAUUUUUCACACUUUAUUACCAUUUUGAAGGUACCUGGGAAAAAUGAUGUAACAAAUGUUUUGAAAAAAGAUAAAAACCUUUCAAAAAGAACUUGGAGAAAUGUAAGAGACCAAGUCUACAAUCUAAUUUAAAAACAGAGAAAAUGUUGAUUUCGAUACUACUUUGAUUGUUCACUACAAUUGAUGGUAUCUGUAUGAAAAAUGAUAUUUUUGUUUACAGUUCUUACAAUUUACAUAAAUUGUACAUAACAGAAUUUGUUGAAUCAUUAUCAAAAUAGAUUUUGACAAAUUUCAGCUUUUUAGUGAGCCUUUCUGAUCAAAAUUUGUCUGUUGUCUGUCGUUGUUGUGACCGGAAGGUCGGAUGUUCGAAUCCCUGCUGCGACUUGACCUGAGUCAAUAAGAAAUAGGUAGCAACUGUUCCAUGGCCAAGCGCUCAGCACAUUGAAAUAAAAGUUUCAGGUCUUUCAGAUGAGACCUUAAAAACUGAGGUUCCGUGUCAUGGCAGGUGUUGGCAUGAUAAAGAUCCCUCACUGCUUGAUGGCCCUAAGUUCCGAGUAAAGGUCUAAAUUUGAAGCCCUUCACUGGUAUAUGGUGAGGUCUCUAUAUGACUGAAAAAUCUCAAACGGGAUGUAAAACAACAUACAAUCAAUCUAUCAAUCAAUCAUUGUCAACUUUUUACAAUAUCAUCUUCUUCUCCAGAACCACUGGGCCAGUUUCAACCAAACUUGGCACAAAUUAGGAAUUCAAGUUUGUGCAUAUGAAGGGCCACACCGUCUUUCAAGGGAAAAUAAUUAAGAAAAAGUAAAAUUGGGUGUUGUCAUUCAAAAAUCUUCUUCUCAAGAACCUUUGGGUCAGUAAAGAUGAAACUUAAAUGAAAGCUUUCUGACAAAGUGUAAAUUCAAUUUAUUCAAAUCAUGACCCCCGGGGUACUGGUGGAGCCAUUAUGGGCAAUCAAAGUUUUACAUAGGAAUACAUAGGAAAAAUCCUUAAAAUCUAUUUCUCAAGAACAGCAUAGCUAUGAUAAUUCAUUUUAUAUGGAGGUAUCCUCAGGUAGUGUAGAAUCAAGUUUGGUCCAAUUGUGGCCCUGAGGUAGGGUGGGACAACUAUGGGCGGUCAAAUUUUUACACAGGAAUACAUAGCAAAAUUCUUUAAAACUAUUUUCCCCAUGAAUAAAAAAGUAAUGAUUAGUCAUAUUUAUAUAGAAGCAUCCUAUGGUAAGCAUAGAUUCAAGAUUGCUCUAGUCAUUAAUCCCCCCCUCCCCCCCCCCCACCCCCCACUACCUCCUGGGCUUCAAUGGGUAAUCAAAUAAAAGUUUUUCAUAGGAAUGUGUAGGGAAAAAAAUCUGAUUAAAAACAAGAAUGGUCAUAGUUACUCAGGUGAGCAUUUUGUCCCAUGGGCACAUUGUUAACAUUGUUUAAUCAAAAUGCAGAGAAUAUGUUGAUUUGCAUAUUACAGGUACAUGUAAUAUUGAUCAGUUGGUCAUGUGAUAUAAUUUUAUAUCUGAAAUGAAAUGAUGGCAAUUGUAUGAAUGAUGAUGAGUUUAAAGUCAGAUUCUUUAACACAUGUAUUUUCAAGAAAAAAUUUGUCUGGAGGUAUUUUGGAAAUUUACUUUUUAUAGUAUUGUAAUAAAUGUUUGUUUUCAUGCAAUGUUGAAGAUCAAGUAUCUACGAACACAACUGACUUGAAUGAACAUCAGAAGUAUUAGAUAAUGUAUUUACAACUGAAACUGUAAUAGAAUUUUAUCAAUUGAAUUUGUUAAAUUCAUUUGAUAAUAAAUUUUGAUUUUUUACCUAAAUUUAAACAUUUUGUUGCUUAGUAGAUCAGACAACAUUUAAAUCAGAAGAUUUAAACAUGAUACCCAUCGGCCAUUUUACGUAAACUGUUUGUAUUGACUGAAUGGUUCAGUACUUUUUUGUCAGUCAAUAAUUUAAUACCUCAGUAUGUGAGCAGGUCCAGGAGAAUGGUGUCUGGUGUGAAUAAGGGACAUGCAGUCAAUUUGUAGCUCAUUGAUCUAAAGGAGGAAUAAAUAUGAUAUACGGUCUGUAUUUGAGUCAUAGUUAGCACUGUCCCAGGGUGAAGUUUUUGCAGCAGAUCUAUCACUAUGUAAAUACAUACUUUGCAUAGAAAGAACUCGCAUGAUUGAACAGUGCUUCACAAGCCUUGCAUGACGUGUGUAGCAAACAUUGAAAGUGUUGUAGGAAGUUUUACUAUGAUUUGAUUUUACAUGAAAAAAUUCCAAAGUAUCACAUACUUUUCUUAAAGUAAAAAAGGUGCAAUUAAGUUUGAUUAAGUCUCCAAUUUUAAUUAAUAACCAUACCCUUGUAUGAGAUCCUCAUGUUACUGUACUUUUAUCAAGUGCAUGUACUGUAAUAUGUCCUAAAUUGAAUAUAAGUUUAUUAUUUUCAAGUACCCAAAUUUUUCAGUGUAAAUAAGGUCCGCGGUUUCUGUUUAAACCAUAUUAUUUGAUGUAAGUCCCCAAACUUGUACCCUGUGUAUAAGGUCCUCAGUUUCUAUAUAAACCAUUAUCUUGUGUAAGUCCCCAAACUUUUACCGUGUGUAUAAGGUCCUCAGUUUCUAAAUAUACCCUUAUCUUGUGUAAGUCCUCAAUUUCUAUUUAUACCCUUAUCUUGUGUAAGUCCUCAAACUUUUACCGUGUGUAUAAGGUCCUCAGUUUCUAUACCCUUAUUCUGUGUAAGUCCCCAAACUUUUAUUUGUGUAUAAAGUCCUCAGUUUCUGUAGGUACCCUUACAAUAUGUAAGUCCCCAAACGUUUACCGUGCGUAUAAGGUCCCCCGUUUCUAUCCCCCUUCUCUUGUGUAAGUCCCCAAACUUUUACCUUGUGUAUAAAGUCCUCAGUUUCUGUAGGUACCCUUAUCAUGUGUAUGUCCCCAAACUUUUACCUUGUGUAUAAAGUCCUCAGUUUCUGUAGGUACCCUUACCAUGUGUAAGUCCCCAAACUUUUACCUUGUGUAAAAGGUCCUCAGUUUUCUAUAUAUACCCUUGUCUUGUGUAAGUCUUCAAACUUUCAUUGGCUAUAUAUAGUCUUCAGUUUCUAUAUCUUUAUCUUGUAUAAUUUCUCUUAAACUUUAGCCGCGUGUAGAAGGUCCAAGUUUCUGAACCUCUUAUUUUGUGUAAGUGUACAAUGUGUAUAAGGUCCUCAGGUUAAAGUACGUUUUUCUUAUUCAAGUACACAACAUUAAUUACGGUACCGGGUGCUACAAACAUGGCCGUAGAAACCCAAGGGGCCGUGCCCCCAUAAUCUUGCCGAUAUAUAGUAUACUAGAGAAAAAAUUAGCUCCUUGAUGCUUGUGCCCCCACAAUAAUAGUGUCUGAUUACCUUUUUUCUUUUCUUUUUUUCUCGUCAAGAAAUUUUUGCUUGGUAGUUUCUAAAAAUAUUUGGUUUAAAAACGUGUUUUGUCCUUCGAACCAAACUGUUUGCCUUCGGCUUAACGACCCCAAGCAAACAGUUUGGUUCAUGGGUCCGACAAACCACAUGUUGCCCUAGAACCCAGUCAAUAAAAUUAAUGACAUGUAUGAUUCAUAGGUCCAUGCUACCCCAAAAAUUUUAAUUCAUGAAUAGGUCCCCAUUUGUCUCUGUUUGUGUAUGAACGACUGAGGUUAGGUCCUCAAUUCUGUUUGCUUAUGAGGAAUUGGGUCCCCUAACUUUACACAGAAGUCCCCAGAUUGGCACUUCCGGGUCCCCGUUUUCUAAAUUCAUGGACAUAUCAGCCCAGCUCAAAGACUCACUCUGUUUACUUAAAUCAGGAUACCUACAGAGUAAAAUGAGUUGAACAAUGCCAAAUAUGUCAUGAAAUCUCUGAGUCCCCAUUUUAAGAUGUUAUGACAGGGUCCCCAGAUCGGACUCGAUACACGUAUGUGUGUGUGUGUGUGUGUUCGCGCACUAUGCCGGGACUUACGACACGUAUAAGGUUACACACGAGUAACCUAUGACAUUUUGAUAACCUACGACACAAAUGUGUGCUAAUGUAAGUACAAUGCUAAUGUAAGUGUUUUUGUUUAUUUAAUUGAAUAUAAGUAGUCAAUUAAUGAUUUAAAAUUGAUAUUUUUGUUCCCAUCCGUUUAGUUUGAAUACAUUGGGGUAUGUGAUGUAUCGUUAUUCUGCAGUAAUGAUGAGAAAAAGUAAGUUGACCUUUGACACGACUAAGAUACAAUUAGAUGCGUGUAAGCUUAAAUAGUUCAAUGGUUUUCAUUUUCUGUAUGUUUUUGUGUUUGUUUUAUAUCAUCAUGAUUAU